rnacentral:tRNA from 1 species
GCCUCCGUGGUGUAGUGGUCAACACGUUCGAGGUUUAUUCAAGAGGUCCGUGGUUCGAAUCCCGGCGAUGGCA